rnacentral:rRNA from 1 species
UACGUAGGGUGCGAGCGUUAAUCGGAAUUACUGGGCGUAAAGCGUGCGCAGGCGGUUUUGUAAGCCAGAUGUGAAAUCCCCGGGCUUAACCUGGGAAUGGCAUUUGGGACUGCAAGGCUUGAGUGCGGCAGAGGAGACUGGAAUUCCUGGUGUAGCAGUGAAAUGCGUAGAUAUCAGGAGGAAUACCGAUGGCGAAGGCAGGUCUCUGGGCUGACACUGACGCUCAUGCACGAAAGCUAGGGGAGCGAAAGGG